rnacentral:piRNA from 1 species
CGGCAGCAAAGACACACAGGAAGG